GCGGAGAGCGGACCCCAGAGAGCCCUGAAGAGCCCCACCGCCGCCGGCCUAGUUACCAUCUCACCCCGGGAGGUGCCGUAGCUGCCGCAGCCGGCCCCAGUCACCAUCACCGCAACUAUGAGCAGCGAGGCCGAGACCCAGCAGCCGCCCCCGCCCUGAGCGCCCCCGACACCAAGCCCUGCACCACGGGCAGCGGCCGGGCGGCCUCACAUCGGCGGCGCCCGCUGGCGGGGACAAGAAGGUCAUCGCAAGGAAGGUUUUGGGAACAGUAAAAUGGUUCAAUGUAAGGAACGGAUACGGCUUCAUCAACAGGAAUGACACCAAGGAAGACGUAUUUGUACACCAGGCUGCCAUAAAGAAGAAUAACCCCAGGAAGUACCUUCGCAGUGUAGGAGAUGGAGAGACUGUGGAGUCUGAUGUUGUCGAAGGAGAAAAGGGUGCGGAGGCAGCAAACGUUACAGGCCCUGGUGGAGUUCCAGUACAAGGCAGCAAAUAUGCAGCAGACUGUAACCAUUAUAGACGCCAUCCACGUCGCAGGGGUCCUCCACGCAAUUACCAGCAGGAUUAGCAGAACAGUGAGAGUGGGGGAAAGAGUGAGGGCUCGGAGAGUGCCCCCGAAGGCCAGGCCCAACAACGCCGGCCCUAGCGCAGGGUGGACCACAGUGUUCCAACCCUCCUGUGCAGGGAGAAGUGAUGGAAGGUGCUGACAACCGGGGUGCGGGAGAACAAGGUAGAGCUGUCAGACAACAUGCAUCGAGGUUAUAGACCACGAUUCCGCAGAGGUCCUCCUCGCCAAAGACAGCCUAGAGAGGACGGCCAUGAAGAGGAUGAGGAGAAUCAAGGAGACGAGACCCAGGGUCAGCAGCCACCUCAACGUCGGUAGCGCCGGAACUUCAAUUACAGACGCAGACGCCCAGAUAACCAACCCUAAACCACAAGAUGGCAAAGCAGCCGAUCCACCAGCUGAGAAUUCGUCCGCUCCCGAGGCUGAGCAGGGCCGGGCUGAGUACAAAAUGCCGGCUUAACAUCGCUACCAUCAUCUGGUUUAGUCAUCCAACAAGAAGAAAUGAAUAUGAAAUUCCAGCAAUAAGAAAUGAACAAAAGAUUGGAGCUGAAGACCUUAAGUGCUUGCUUUUUGCCCGUUGACCAGAUAACUAGAACUAUCUGCAUUAUCUAUGCAGCAUGCAGUUUUUAUUAUUUUUACCUAAAGAUGUCUCUUUUUGGUAAUGACAAACAUGUUUUUUAAAAAAGCCUGGUUUUUCUCAAUACACCUGUAAAGGUUUUUAAAUUGUUUCAUAUCUGGUCAAGUUGAGAUUUUUAAGAACUUCAUUUUAAUUUGUAAUAAAAGUUUACAACUUGAUUUUUUUCAAAAAAGUCAACAAACUGCAAGCACCUGUUAAUAAAGGUCUUAAAUAAUAAAAAA